AACGUAGGGGGCCAGCGUUGUCCGGAAUUACUGGGCGUAAAGAGCGCGUAGGCGGUUUAGUAAGCGGAGGGUGCAAUCCCGAGGCUCAACCUCGGAACUGCUCUCCGAACUGCUAGACUAGAGUGCGGGAGAGGGUAGUGGAAUUCCUGGUGUAGCGGUGGAAUGCGUAAAUAUCAGGAGGAACACCAGUGGCGAAGGCUGCUACCUGGAACGUAACUGACGCUGAGGCGCGAAAGCUAGGGGAGCGAACGGGAUUAGAUACCCUCGUA
rnacentral:rRNA from 1 species